AAAUAAGUUCAUGUUAGUGUAGGACGCUGUUUGUGAUAGUGAGGUACGACCUCAGAGACACGUCAGCGUCUGCUUUGCGUGGCUAACUGACAGAUAGCUUAUUAUCAUAGCUAUCAGGUUAGUCAGAGUGCCAUGAUGAGUUCUAAUGCUGAGCGAAAAUUCAUUAAUCUCCGAAAACGUCUAGAUCAGCUUGGUUACAGACAGCCAUUAGGCAUUGAGUCCCUGCCACUGGUUGAAAAGCUUUUUAGUGACUUAGUCCACACUACUGAAAGUCUUCGAAAUGCCAAACUCUCGGCUGGAAAGACAGAAAAAGAAAGUCGAAAUCUUGAUGCCUUGUUGGAGCCGUAUAAGACGGAGAAUGCUCGACUGGUUCGAGAGAAUAACGAGCUGCAUUUGGGUCUUCUGAAAUUAAGGGAGGAGAAGGAUCGAAUCACUAGAGAGCUAAAGGCAUACAUCAGGAAACUUGACCAUGAAACCUCAGAUCUGAAGUUCCUCAACAACCAGUAUGUGCAUAAGGUGCGUGCCCUGGAGAAAGACAGCAAAGCUAAAACGGAACACAUUCAGCAGCUCCAAGAAAAGAACAUGCAGGCUGUUGUGCAGACGCCGGGAGGAAAGAAAAGGCCAAUUCCUUUCAGGCGACAACGAAUGCAGAUCGAUGAGCUGCUUCCUCCCUCACCUAAUCCCAGCCCUUCAGUGGUGGCACAGGCGGAUGACCCGUACAUUGCUGACCUUCUCCAGGUUGCUGAUGACAGGAUCCAGGAGCUACAGCAAGAGGUGACUGCACUAAAGUUGGAUCUAGAAAGAGCCCAGGGUGGAGUUAAACACCUUAACACACAGGUGGAGGAGCGAGAUAAAGAGGUUGAGCGUCUGAAUCGAGCUUUGGAUGGUGGGCGACCAUAUGACGUUCUCUCUCUGGAGGCUCAAAACAUGAGCAAUGAAAAGCUUAUUGCUCACUUGAACCUACAGAUUGAGUACCUGCAGGAGACAAACAGGACUCUGGAGCAGAAGGUGAAUGGUCUGCAAGAGAAAAAGAAAAAUGAGGUGGCUGAUUUGAGCGUCCGGAACCAGGAACUGUGCAAUGAACUAACCCAAAUAGACCAGCUUGCACAGCAGUUGGAGAAAGACAAAGAGAUGGUGCUUGAGGCAGCAGACAUAGAAUUGCAGGAGGCCAAGAAAGAAAUCCAGCGGCUGCACAGACAAAUUGAGGAGCUGGAAAAGGUCGCCUCUAAAUCACGACAGGACCUAGCAGAAUGGAAUCAUGAGAAGGACAGUAUGAUGGACCAACUGUCUGAAAUGCAGAAGCAGAAUGAGAAGAUGGAGGGACUAAUAAAUUUUCUAGAGGAGGAAAAGAGAAGACUGCAGGACAAAGUAGAGAGAAUGACACAAGCUGAUAAGGAAAUUAUUCUAGAGUUGGAGCGAAUGCGUGCUCAACAUGGAAUAUGUGGCAAAGAUCGCUCUCCAUCUCGAUUGGAUGCAUUUGUAAAGAGCUUGGAGGAAGAGCGGGACCACUACAAACAGGAGGCUGAGAGGUACCGCAGGACAAGAGGAGGAGCUGACGACAUUACCCUUAGUCCAUCCAAAAUCAGGAGUCCUAGAGGUCGGGGAAGCUGGCCUGCUAAGGAAGAGCGUGCAGAUAUUGAGCUGUCUCGUGCUGUAAGGGAGCGAGAUGAACUGCAAGCAAUGCUGCUGGGCUUUGAGAAACAGAUGGAAGACAUCCAGAUUAAAGUCAAACUUCUCACAUCAGAGAGAGACCAACUCGGUGCUCAAUAUCAACAAGCCCAGGAGGAGCUGAUGGUUAUUCGUAGGGACUUGGUGUUUUCUACUGAGCAACAGCAGAGAAAGAGUGGCCAGAGUGAUCAGGCAGAUUUGGAGCUCCUCAAAGUUACUGCAGAAAGAGACACUCUUCGUGAGAGACUUAAAGUAGCUCAGACCUCAGCUCUGACAGACAGAGAGUAUGAGGAGAUAAGGAUGCUGGAGCUGGAAAACACUGUUCAGAUGUUGGGAAGGGAGAGAGCAGAUUUGCGCACUCAGGUGGCUGUAUUAAAGGAAAGCCGUGAAGCUGUUAAUGAAGAACUAAAAGCUCGUUCAGCUGCUCUGCUUAAGAAUGCAGAGGAAAUGGCUCAGCAGAGGGCAGAGAGCAGCGCACUAAGGCUGCUGCAGGAGCAGAUGGAAAAAUCUCUUUCUGAUGUUCAGCACAGACUGUCUGUCAAAAACAGCGAAUUACAGGCAGCUCAUGAGCAACUGGACAAAUUAGACGAGAAAGUUGCCGAAUUGAGUAAGCACGGUUCAUCUAAAAAAGACGAGGUUGCAGUCCUGCAGGCUGCUAUAGCAUCUCUGGAUCAUGAGAAAGAUGCUUUGCAGGAGGCAGUGGACCAGAAAGCUGAGGGCAUGGUCCUGUUGCAGGAGCAAUUACAAAAGAAGGAGAAGACCCUUACAGAGGUCCGACUCACAAUAACAGAAAUGGAGAGCUCUUUAGAUCAGCUGAAGGGGGUGCUGAGUAGUCGUGAGCGGGAGAUUGCUAGUUUGCGCAGACAGCUAGACCAGUCGCAGGAAGAACUGACGGUAGUAAGCCGAGACAGAGAGGUAGCACUUAGAGAAAACCGCCGACUACAGGACGACCUGGCCACCAUGACCAGAGAACACCUGGCAGUGCAUAGAGAAAUGGAAGCAGCUUUGAGAGAGAGGGACGAACUGAAGAUGAGAGUUCACUCCUACAUUUCUGAGGUGGCCAAGAUCGAGAAAAUUAUGGCGACUAAGGAGCAGGAGAACAGGGAGAUGCUGGAGCAUUUUCGCUCUGCACACUUGGACGCUGAGGAGCGAGAGCAAAAACUGCAGCAGGCUGAAGGUCUUAACAACUCCAUCAAACUGGAGCUGCUCUCAUCUGACACGGAGCGCAGGCACCUUAGAGAGAAACUUUCUCUGCAGGACCGAGAGAUUCAGGAGCACAUGAGUGCUCUGCAGGUAUAUGAGGCUCAGGUAUCCUCUUUAAUGAGGGCAAUGUCUCGCCUGGAGGAGGUGCUGCAGUCAGUUCGGGCAGAGAAGGCCUCAGUGCUAGCUGAUCUUGCCUCUGUUCGAGAGCUCUGUGUGAAACUGGACUCUAGCAAAGAGCUAACCACACGCCAGCUAACCACUAAAAGCAUGGAGCUAGAGAGGGUGAGAGAGGGAGAGAAAAGCCCUGGAACAGGCGAGCUGGAAGACGUGCGCUCAGAGAUGGAGCUUCUAAAGAAGCAGCUAGCCAGUGAAAAGGUGGCUGUACGGAAUCUCGAGACCCUACUCUCUACCAACCGCCAAAAAGAGUUUCAGAACCACCUCAGUGCUAGUGAGAGGGAGUCAGAGCUAAAGGUGCUCAAAGACCGCCUGGCACUUGCUGACAACAAAACGGCGGGUCAUGUUAGGGAAGUUUCACAGCUGCGUGGGAAGGUCUCUCAGCUCCAGACAGAGAUGGAUGUGCUGAAAAGACAGCUGACAACCGAGCGCUUCGAGAGGGAAAGGGCAGUUCAGGAGAUGCGCAGACAGGGUGUGUCUUUUACCUCAUUGCGUAGCUCUUCCCCUCUCAGUACCUCACUCAGUCCUCGUCCACCUUCCCCUGAACGGUCUGUCCUACAACCACCAGAACACUCUUAAAACCCCAGAAAAAAGUGUAAGUUUUAAGGUCUAGAGAGAAGCAAAGUUUGAAGAACUCCGGAUGUCUGAAGGUAUUCUUUGUGCUGGUUCAUCCCUCUUAUCAUGAUUACUUAUGGACAUAAAACGGCUUGGACUGAUAAAAAGUUUAUAUUAUUGAAUUACUUGAUCCCUUCUCUGAAAUAUUUAUCAAUUUAGUUUGGCCUUAAAUGUGCAUUGGUCAAUAUGUGAUUAUGACUAAAUAAAAAGAAAAUAUCUUGGAAACAAGUGGGUAAAGCGUCACCUGAAAAUGCUGAAAGUGUUUACAACCUGUGUCAGUUACAGACACUUUACUCGGCAAGCAAACCUGAUGGACUCUUGUACUAAACACCCAGCAGCGUGAGGCCACCCAAAGAGGAUGGGUCCCUGCUGAGUCUGGUUCCUCUCAAGCGUGUCCAAUUACCCGAUUGCAUCAUGCUUCCUCUCCAACAAUGCUGAUCCCUGCUAUGAUCGAGGAGGACGAAGCUAACCCACGCCCCCUCCGACACGUGGGCAGCAUGCCGUAUUCAUCUUAUUACCUACACUUUGACGAGUGCAGUGCAGCUCAGCACUGUGAAAGGAGAGACACACCCUGAGAGCACUCUUUUCUCAUCUCUGUGCAGGCACCAUCAAUCAGCCAGCAGAGGUCAUAACUGCAUUAGUUAUGAGAGAGACCCUAUCCGGCUUAAUCCCGCCCAUAUCUGAACAACAGGCCAAUCGCUGUUCAUGUGGCCAACGCACACCACUCUUGACCAAGGAGCACAGGAAAGGUCACCUGGAAUAUAAGCCUGCAGAGUUCUGGGACAAAGUUCUAUGGAGUGACAAAUCAAAACUGGAACCAUUUGGCCAUAUGGAACAGUGGUUUGUUUGACACAAGAAAAAAGUGAACAAAGUUUAUGUCCAGAGAAAUUCCAGCCCCAUAAUCGAGCUGUCAUGAUGUGGGGAUGUUUCUGUACUGCAGGAAAUCUUGGCAAUCUUGACCGUAUGAAUGGCAUCAUUUAUUCACAAAAAUAUUUUUGAGGAGGACUGUGAUGCGUUCUAUGAAACUGAACUUUGGUGAUAAUUAGAAUUUCCAGCAAGACAAAGAUCCCAAGCACACUUCUAAGUUCUGGAAUAUCCUGGAGUGUCUUCUCAGUCUCCAGAUUUAAAUCCCAUUGAAAAUUUGUGGGAUUUAAAGAAAGCAGUUCCAGCACAAAAUCCAUCAAACCUCAAUAAUCUGGAAGCUUUUCCCUUAAAAGAAUCAAUGAGGAUUCUAUAAGAGAUGUGUCAGAAGCUUGUUAACACUCACUUAUUAAAGAUCAUCAAGGGAAAAAGGAUGAUCCACCAAGUUCUGAGACUGGGGGUUGAAUAAUAGUGCACAUGGGCAUUUGCCAAAGGAACCAGAUACUUUUUUAUUUAAACUCAAAAUUUGUCCAUUUGAGUUCUAUAGACAAGACCAUAAUAUUUUAAGGUGAUAGGGUUGAAUAUUUCUGUUUGCAACUGUAUCUACUAUAAAUGACAUCAUAAAAAUGUAAAGCUUAGUAAUGGCUACAGAAUCUUGUGCAUCUUGAUGCAGUAUACAGUCUGGUUUGUGCCCAGCACAACAUGGUGAAAUGCCACCAUCUAUAUGGCAAUACUAUUCAUUCUUUCAUUAUACAAUAGACAGCUUGCUUGAUUGGACUGGACUUGCAGUACUAAAUAGUGGUUAUAAUUUAAAUAGCUUUUGAGCAUGCCACUCGGGUCAUGAUCACAUACAUGUUGGAUUCUGUACAAUAGAAAUA